UNUGCUUCUCUGAGUGGAGCAAGCUAGUGC
rnacentral:piRNA from 1 species